rnacentral:lncRNA from 1 species
GUCUCGGCCCAAUAUGAAUACAAUUAUGUCACUUUCAUAUGGGCUGGGCUUUGAUUUGGGCUUGGGCAUUCUCUUGGUACUAUUAGACUUGGUCUUGGGCUUCAUGGGUGGGCUUUCAAUUUCUCAUUGGGCUGGAUCCCAACACAUAAAAAUAUAAAAGCACAAUUCGUCUGCAAUCGGUAGUGUAGGUUGUUAGCGCUUUCGACUAUACAUGAGUUUAGACCACUGGGUGUUCUUUGUGCAUUAUUGAAAUUUAUUUUGGGGGACAAAAUUACAAGAAAAAAAAGUUUUAAGCUAUUUACAAAGUAAACUCUAAAUUUUCAAUUUUCUUAAUUAACAUCAUAAACUUUUUCGAGUCUAUUAAUAAAAACCUCAAUAGAUUUUUAUUUAACACGCUUAAUACAAUAAAAUAUGUGACACUAAUUUUACACAAGUAUAUAUUUUUUCAAAAAAAUUACAAGAAUAAAUAAAACCUAGUAUUUUAACCGAUAUUUUACAAACAACUCUAUUUUAUUCUUGUCAAUUUAAAGCCAUAUAAUUUUUCUAUUAUAUCAAUAUAAAACCCAAUCAAUGACCCUUAGAUGUGGUUGAAUAACAACUAAAACACAAUAAAGCAAUACUCGUCGUUCCUUCUUAACAAAUUCCAACUAUCAGGUUAGAGUGUUUAAAAUUUGAAAUAAUGCCUUUUUAAUUAUUUAUCUUUUAAAAAUGCUUAUAAUAUUGAGAGCCCAGAUAGUAAUACAUUGCUAAGGCCCCACCCUGAUCAUAAGGACAUGGAUAACUUUUGUACCAUUUUUUUCUCUUGAAUUUGUGGAUAAGUUUUGGGAGUUGUGGACUUUGUUCCUGCCUACAGACGCCCUAAAUGCACUUUUUUGGGUGGUGAGUUGUAAUUGGAGUGUUAAAUUGGCUCGCCUCUUGCCUUCAUAAGGCCAACAUUGAGAUAAAAAAAAUAAUUUAUAUAUUUUUAUUUUUAGUGAUUCUUUUUUUUUUUUUUUUUUUUUUGCUUUUCUCCGUUCAUCUUAUUAUAGGAAUGUGAAGUUAAAUUAUUUUUAACAAAAAAAAACACUAACAAAUUUAAAAUUAACUUUGGGUUUUAGUAGUUUUUUUUUAUUUGUCUCCUCACUUUUCUAAUAUUCCUUUAAUUAGAAGACGACUAAGAAAAGUAAAAGUUGUAAUAAAAGAUUAUAAUAAAAAAGUUCAAUAAACAUGAUAUCCAAAUAAAAAACAGUCUUAGCGCGAUUGAGAGCAUCUAGGGACUGAAAUCUGCUGUCCCAAAGUGUUUGGAACUGGGCCCUCUCCACUGGUCCAGUGGUGACACUUCAUCUAAAAUGUAAUUUAUCAUGGGAGGUUUGUUGGAUUAAAAUAAAUUUAAUGGUGUGUUCUAUGUGUCUUUUUUUAAUUUUUUAGUAAGAUAAAAAUGAGGUAGAAAAAUAAAAUAAGUUAAUUUUUUAUUUACUAAAAUUGAAUUAAAAAGAUAAUGAUCAAAAAAAUAAAUAAUAAUCAAACUUUAAUAAUUAAAAAAAUAACUUAAAUUAAGAAUGAUACCAAAUGUUUUGGAUAUAGCUAUUGUACAUCAAUCAAGCCCAGUUUGAACUAUUUUUUUUAAAAAAAAAGAUUUUUUUAGUUAUUUUUGGUUUUCAGUUUUUUUGUCUUUUAAUAAAACAUUUAACUGUUUUUUUUUGACGAAAUGUUAAACCUUUUGGGUUUGUAUGUGAGGAGUCUAAAAACAUAAAUAUUUUCGUCUAAUUUAAAAACGACUUACUAAGACAAAAAAUAUAUUUUAACUUGACAAAUUAGGUAAAUUUUUUGUCUUGAGUGAUUUGUUUUCAAAAUUUAAAUAAUUUUUUUUAUAUUUUCAGAUUUUUUUUCCAUUCUAGGUUUUCCCAAAAGAAAUACAAAACUUAUCAAAUUUGAUUAGAGGGAGAAAAAAAAAUUUUUCAAUAAAAAAACACAAAACUAAGAAACCCUAAAAGAUACAAUACAUAUAUAUACAUAUAUAGAUAUAUAUAUAUAUAUAUAUUUUCAAACAAAAAACGCACACAUAGAAAGUAUAUGCAAGUAGGGAUGGCAAUUUGAACCGCGAAAAAAAAUCCGAUACAGCCCUCGGUCUUGCCCGUUUAGGCGUGUUUGGGGAAAAAGUCAAAUCCUAUUAAUAAUUCGGGUGGGGUCGGGUUUAGCCUCCUCCUUCCCGAAACCCUCCCCGAUUACCCUAUAUAUAUAAAAAAUUAAAAUUAUUUAUAUUUUUUAAAAAUAUACCAUAAUUAUCCCUCCCUUACUAAAUAUAUAGAUACCAAUAAUUAAUAUAAAAAAUAUAUAUAUUAAAAAAAAUAUGAAACCUGGGCGGGGGCGGGGCGGGGCGGCAUGGGGUGGGUUUUGGUAUAAAAAACGGGGCGGGGGUGGGGGAGGAAGGCCAACCCGUUUAUUAAACGGGCGGAGACGGGGGUGGGGGAGGGCCGCCGACGCCGUCCCAACCCGCCCCCGUGGCCAUCACUAUAUGCAAGCCUACACAAUGUCCCUACAACUGCUAAGGUGGCGAUACACGUGGGAACUCAAAGGAUGAGAGUUCUAGUACGGGUCUACUAAUUAAAGUAUUUCACGUGUAUUUACCUAGCAUAAAUUUAUAAAUUAAGUGCUUUUACCAUUAGCCCGCCUAUACCCAAAUGCUUGGCCUCGUAUAUGAAAAAUAAAUUUGAUCCCAAUUUGCAACAAUUAUAUUAUAUUUUUUUCCGAUCUCUGAAUUUAUUUUAAAAUUUCAUUUUGAUUAUCAAAAUUAUGCAUAUUGUAGAUUUUUGUUUUAAAAUAAAUACUUAAAAAAAUUAUUGUUUAUCUGCGCAAUUUAACUUCAUAAUAUAAUUUAAAUUUUUUUUGACAUAUGACCACUAGAUUUUUCAAAUUUUUCAAAUUCCUUUUCCUUUCCUUUUUCCUUUUUCCUUUUAUUUAUUUGUCUUAUUAUCGGAUUGUUUGUUCAUUAUUUCAAAAUAACAAAUAGUUUUAGUUUUAUUAUACUAUUUUUAAUACUUGCCGCUGUUAUAUGUAAAUUAGUAAUAUAAAGUUAAUUGUUUGGAUGUUUGAGAGGACCCGUCCCUCUCAUAUUAAGGAGAUAAUUAAUAUAUAAUGUGAAUUCAACCAUUUUGAUUAUUUUGACCGUUGAAUUAACAAAAUAAAUUUGGAGACAUUUCUUAAAUUUAUUUUGGUCAGUUCAAUCUUUCAAAGAGCCGUUUGGUUUAAUAUUUAAAUUGAACCCCCCCCAUAUAUAUAUAUAUAUAUAUAUGGCGCGUUCACACUCGUUAAUUUUGGGACUUUUGGGGUUUUGAUUGUUGUUGACAUUAAAUUUUAUUAAAUGUAAAAUAUUUAUCAAAAAUUACAGGGUAAAUUACAUUUUACCUACUUAAUUUUCCACAUUUUUUAUUUUACUAGCUUAAACUAAAACCCUAAAAGUCACAUCCUCAAACGAUUGGAACAAAAGUAGCCUCUAGGCAUUAACGAAAAAAUAUAGAAUUUACUAAUUUAUCCUUAAUUUAAUUUAAGAUUACUUACACUUUAUCUCCUAAACUAGUUCAUAUUUUUUCAUUUUUAACUCUUAAUUUAAUUUCCCUUCCACCCCCUCUCCUUCCCCCCCCCCCCCCCCCCCCCCUUCUAUUUCUCCAUUUAAUCCUCUUUAUUAUAACAAUUCAGCCCUUUAAAACUCUAAUAUUAAUAAAUAUAAAGAUUCUCAGAAUAGUUGCAGAAAAUUCUGGGCCUUAAUUGAGGGGAAGUUAUUUUUUUUCACCAAAGUAAAAGAGAGUAUAUGUAUGUAGAGAUUUUUGUGGUUUUUGUUUAUUUUGUUUUUGCUUAUGGUGUGGAUGGACGUCUAAAAGUGGAAUUAAAAAUUGUGAAUUUUUGAGAGAGAGGUUGGGUGAGAACGUGGUUUAUUGUGAUUUGAUUUUUGGUGUUUGAGAAUAUCAAAAAGUAUAUAAAUCUUUAUGAUUUUUACUUUGGAGUUUUGAAUUUUGAAAGACUUGUAAGGGUUUUUUAGUUUAAGGGGGUACAUGAAUAACCUUAUAGUUUAGGGGUAAUGUAUAUGCCCCAAGGGAUAUUGUUGGUAAUUUCUUUAUCAUGUUGUAAUACGUGAUACUUUAAAACCAUUUUUAACAAUCAUCACCUAGUUGUAAGCUUUUUAGUUGCCAAAUUAUAAUAGUUUAAGGAAGUGGAAUACUUGUUUACGUAUUUUUAAUUUAAAAGGUAAGUAAAAAAAAUAUGAAAUGCAUAAAAAGUAAAGUGUAAUUAAUCUCAAUUUAAAGAUUUGCUAUAUGCCCCAUAACUUAAUAAAAUGUAUAAAUUAUAAAUUCUUUCUUACCCCAAAAAAUAUAUUUUUCAAUAAAUUUUAACCGAAUAUAAAAAUUAAUUAAUUAUUUUAAUAAAAAAUUAAAAUUGAAACAAUUGUACAAUUAUCUGGAUUUAAGUUUAUUGGUAACAAUUAUUAUAAAUAUAUUAUUAUUUUUACUUAUUUUUGACUCAACAGCUGUCUCCAAUUAGGAAAAAAACCGUAAAACCGUUUUCAGAGAGAAGAAACAACCAAUACAGACCCGAAUAGGAAAAGACCGCAGAAAAAGAAACCGCACCACUAGGGAGAGAGAGACUCAGAGAGAAAAAACGCCAAUAGGGAUGACGAGAGAGAGAAGAAACCAUCAAUAGAGAUAGACGCAGAGAGAGAGAACAGAACACACACUAGAAGAGAGAGAGAGGGUGGUGGUGGUGGGGGAAUGCGACCCACGCCGAAUCCAUGGAAAAGCGGAGUAUGAAAAUCGGCGAGGUUCCUGCUUGGAAUUGAUUUGUUCACACCCACUCAAUUUCGUGCCUUCAAUGCAAAUCCUCUAACCCUUUCUUAUUUUCAUCAAUUGUCCCUGUCUAUGGUGUUUGAAUUCAUUCAUCGUCUGUGUUUUAUUUUCUUCUUUUUUCAAUUAUCUUGCAAAGUUUUCCAUUGUAUUUUUAACUUUGCCAACACAUAAACUAUGAAAUCUUCAUUGUGGCUCUCUUGUUCAAUUUUCUCUUUCUUUCGAUUGUAUACUCCUGCCCUUUUCAAAUUCUGUGCUCAUUAGUAGUGACAAGCUAUGCAUCCUUUCUCAUCUCUUUCUUUGUUUAGUGACGUAUCUUCUUUGGGUUUUUUGUUCUUUAUUGGUUACGGACAAGUUAUGCAAUUCUUCUUCCCGUUUUUCUUGAUUAGUGGUGCAUUUCUGAGGUUUUCCUUCUUUAUUGUUUUAGGGAACAUACUAAUAUGCCUUUGUGGGUUUUUUUGUUAGUUUUUUCCCUUCCUUUUCAAGUUUUUCUCCGCUAUAAGAAUAACUUUGCUUUCUUCAAUUGUGCACUGUGCAUUUACCUUCUUUUCUUGUUAUUGAACAGUAAAUAUGAUCUGAAAUCUCUGUAUGGGUUUUGUUGGUUUCGUGCCUUUUCUCUGAUAGAAGCGAAAACCUUUUCCAUACUCUGUUCUUUGAGCAAUGCCAUGUAUGUUUUUUGGGUCUGUUACAUGUUAUUUGAGGAUUAUUUACAAUCGCAUAUUCUCAAUUGUUGUUAUUUUUCUGGUUUUUGGUGAACUUAUCUCCAAUCUUUCUCCAGUUUCCUCAGUUUAGAGAGAAAUUCACUUUCUUUCAAUUGUUCGCAAUUGCAUUUAUAUUUCUGUUGUUAUUUCUUUUUUGAUGAAUGAACUAUUCAAUGUGGUGGUUUCUUGGCGUCUGUCACGGUUUCUCUCAUAAAUUGUAAAAUUUUGUUUUUCUUUCGUAAUUGUUGAUGGUAGGGUUCUAUAUUUCUGUUUGCACUCUGUCUCUUUCUUUCAAUUGUUCAUUUGUGGAUUUAUAUUCUCUUGUUCUUUCCUUGUUUGUGAACAUCUUGUCCCUACAAGAAAAAAGUAGAAUCUACCGGCAUUUAUAACACUGUGCUGAAGUUUUAUCGCUUCUGGUUCCACCUAUUUUUCACAACGCCUUUUACGCCGCCGUAUCAGGAGCAGAUCAAAGGACGUGGGCAUUGACAUGCUGCCGCUAAGUCAGUGUGUUUAUCAAGCUUAUGCCCCUGAAUGUUACAGGGAUGGAAAAAUAAAUAUUUGGCAUCAUUGGUAUUUUGCUAAUGUGGGUGUGCUAAUGUUUAGAGCUUGUUUAGAUGAACUUUAACCCAAAAAGAGGGCUUUAUACAUAAAAGGCAAGCAACUAUAAUUACAUUUUACUUUAUAGAUUAGUUUUAUAACUAUGCUAAUAAACAUUGGUGGUCAUUGAUGACUGAGCAACAUUUGUAGAUCAUGUCCUCAAAUUUGUUUUUUUGCAUCUGGGAUGUAUAAAUAAAUUCACAUUCCCUUUUCAUACGAUGAGGCCAUUUUUAUGACUUUAAUAGGUUUAAAAAUGCCUUUAUGUUGGGUUUACAUAUCCUAUAUAUUGGAUAGUGGAUGGCUUGAUUGGACUUGAACUGAAGGGAUGCUAUUUUUAAUUGCUGUCAUGGACUUGAGUAAAUUAUUUCCGAAAAAAUGAUCAUACAGAUUGUGAGAUUUAUGAGUAAGGAAGCAGCUUUUACUCACAUUUUUUUUCAUGAAGACGCUGAUUUGAGAUAAAGUCCCCUUAACUUAUAUUAACAUGGAUUUGGCUUACAUGUAUCAAGUUUGGGUGUGUGUUUAGGGGGCCAGUCAAACCUCCAUUGAACGAUUUGUGGACUUGAUUAAAAACUGGUCAUAUUUUACAAUUUCAUAUCUUUUUUGUGAUUUCAAGGUCACACUUUUUUGAAAUGCUCGUAAACAAACUCAAACUUCUGGUUCUAUAAUUGUAUCGCUUUGUGUCACGAGAAACUGUGGCUUUUUGAAAACUGUUCCUUGGGUUUUCCCAAGGUAUGUGACCCUUUUACAAGGUGAGUCCAUUUCCUAUAGCUUCUCCCAUUUUGUGGAAUUCUUUUCUAUAAAUAUAGUGAUCGUGAUAUAGAGAAUUGCUCAUAAUUUAGUGUCAUAGUAUUGUUUCCAUAGGACUAGGAGUAAUCUUAUAGCAUGCACUAUCAAAUUCAAAGCAAAAUGUCUUCAUUCUCCAUCAUUUGUUGGCUUACAGGGAUUUUCGUGGCUAUUAUGUGGAACGAAUUGGCUUUCUGCUGCGGUUGGGUUACAAUGUUGUUUACUACAGAGAUUAUUGGUGGGUUUAUCUUUUUGAUAAAUAUGUAGUGCUUUCGUUGCUAUUUCAAACCCGUUUUAAGGCACACUACAAGAAAAUUUGCAUAUACUAAUAUUUGUUGAAGAAACCCUAUGUCUUGAGAAUUGCCUUCGGGAUGCACAUCAAGCAGAAAAAUUCUGAAGGCGGGAAAACAGAAAGGGUACUCGGGCUCAUAUCUAUUUUGUUUUGUUUUCCAUUGCAGGGUAGCGUAAUGUUGCUGGUAAGAAAAAGCAUGGGAAUAUAAACACCAAACUGAAAUCAUUCGUGCCAUGGCAUCCUGAUGCCUUAAUCAAUGUUAGAUAAACUGAAGUACCCAUUUGCUCCGUCCGAUUGUCUUCCCGAGUACAAU